rnacentral:rRNA from 1 species
GAUACCCCACUAUUAACCCCACCCACCUUAGCCAACCAGUCUAUAUACCGCCGUCGCCAGCUCACCUCCUGAGAGAAUAAAAGUGAGCCAAAUAGUCUAACACUAACACGACAGGUCAAGGUGUAACUAAUAGGUGGGAACAAGAUGGGCUACAUUUUCUACCCAGAACAUACGAAUUAAACUUUGAAAUAACAACUGAAGGCGGAUUUAGCAGUAUAUUAAAGACAAAACACUUAAUUGAAACCAACGCAAUGGGGUGCGCACACACCGCCCGUCAUCCCUGCCACCAAAACAACUCAUUAAUAAUAAUAACACCAAUACAAACCAGGGCAAGUCGUAACAUGGUAAGCGUACUGGAAAGUGCGCUUAGAAA